AGUAAUGCAUAGGAAUUUGCCUCAAAGUGGGGGAUAGCCCGGAGAAAUCCGGAUUAAUACCGCAUGUGCUCUACGGAGGGAAAGCGGGCCUCUAUUUAUAAGCUCGCGCUUUGAGAUAAGCCUAUGUCGGAUUAGCUUGUUGGUAGGGUAAAGGCCUACCAAGGCAACGAUCCGUAGCUGGUUUGAGAGGAUGAUCAGCCACACUGGGACUGAGACACGGCCCAG
rnacentral:rRNA from 1 species